rfam:Cavia porcellus supercont2_4 genomic scaffold, whole genome shotgun sequence.
GGGGAUUUAGCUCAGUGGUUAAGCGCCUGCCUUGCAAGCAGGUAGUUGUGAGUUCAAUCCCCG